rnacentral:rRNA from 1 species
UACGUAGGGGGCAAGCGUUGUCCGGAAUCAUUGGGCGUAAAGCGCGCGUAGGCGGCCCGGUAAGUCCGCUGUAAAAGUCCAGGGCUCAACCCUGGGAUGCCGGUGGAUACUGUCGGGCUAGAGUACGGAAGAGGCGAGUGGAAUUCCCGGUGUAGCGGUGAAAUGCGCAGAUAUCAGGAGGAACACCAAUGGCGAAGGCAGCUCGCUGGGACGUGACUGACGCUGAGACGCGAAAGCGUGGGGAGCGAUCCGG